rnacentral:rRNA from 2 species
AAAUUGAAGAGUUUGAUCAUGGCUCAGAUUGAACGCUGGCGGCAGGCCUAACACAUGCAAGUCGAACGGUAACAGGAAGCAGCUUGCUGCUUCGCUGACGAGUGGCGGACGGGUGAGUAAUGUCUGGGAAACUGCCUGAUGGAGGAGGAUAACUACUGGAAACGGUGGCUAAUACCGCAUAACGUCGCAAGACCAAAGAGGGGGACCUUCGGGCCUCUUGCCAUCAGAUGUGCCCAGAUGGGAUUAGCU